rnacentral:rRNA from 1 species
AUUGAACGCUGGCGGCAGGCCUAACACAUGCAAGUCGAGCGGAUGAAGGGAGCUUGCUCCUGGAUUCAGCGGCGGACGGGUGAGUAAUGCCUAGGAAUCUGCCUGGUAGUGGGGGAUAACGUCCGGAAACGGGCGCUAAUACCGCAUACGUCCUGAGGGAGAAAGUGGGGGAUCUUCGGACCUCACGCUAUCAGAUGAGCCUAGGUCGGAUUAGCUAGUUGGUGGGGUAAAGGCCUACCAAGGCGACGAUCCGUAACUGGUCUGAGAGGAUGAUCAGUCACACUGGAACUGAGACACGGUCCAGACUCCCACGGGAGGCAGCAGUGGGGAAUAUUGGACAAUGGGCGAAAGCCCGAUUCAGCCAUGCCGCGUGUGUGAAGAAGGUCUUCGGAUUGUAAAGCACUUUAAGUUGGGAGGAAGGGCAGUAAGUUAAUACCUUGCUGUUUUGACGUUACCAACAGAAUAAGCACCGGCUAACUUCGUG